AGGAGGGGGGAAAAAAAGAAAAGAAAAGCACAUAUCAUAUUCUGGACAUGUAACCAAACACUGAGAGCAAACAAAAAGAUAAAUAAAUCACAUUGCCCUUCACUGUUUCAAGCCUCUCAAAAAUGAUUAAAUUUAGUACAUGACUCACAGAUCGCUCCCUGGUUUAGGAAGAUGGAAAUAAAACUUUGAAGCAAUCCUCUUCUAAUAGGUUAAAUAUUAAUGAAGUUUGGGUCACGUGAGGCAAAUCCGCUUCACCCCCAUAUGACUCGUAGACGUAGUUAUUAAAAAAAUAAAACCUAUCUGUGCUUCUCUUAUGGUGGUUUGAUUGUGUUUCUGAACUCUUAAUUCAUCACACUUCACAUCUCGCUGAUGACCUUCCUUUUUAAAGGAUCCCAUUUUCUCUUGAUCUCGUGCACCUUAAAAGCUUUUUUCUCGCCGCGAGUGAAGAGAAAUAUCGGAAAGAGAGCCGGGACCAAUUUUCGUGGAAAACAGAGGAACUCUAAAACAAUUGCACUCGCUAACAUGCCUUCCUGCUUUUCUUACUUCACUUUGAUAAAUAAAUCUCUCCUGAUCUCCGCCCCACCCUCCCCACCAAAAAAAAAAAAAAAGUUAGCGGCGGUCACACAAGACAUUUGCCAGGCAGUCCCAUAACAUAGGACAAGGGAACUAGAAGUGACAUUGUGGCUCGGGGCUGUCUCAAAGGAUUAGGCAUUACAGCAUUCACUGGAGAGAGCUGGAGGGUCGGAUAUGCGCUGAUAUGGUGCUUUGCCAUAUUGCACAGGCCUGUCAGUGAUGACAGGAUCAGGAAAAUGUCCAUCCAGCCUGCCUGCCUGCCUGUCUCCCUAGCCAGAUGGUCCUGCAGCUUCUUCCCUAACAUCCACAGGAAGCAGAUGUGAGAGGGAACAGGCCUCUCCAGAGAAUCUGGAAGAAGUCUGCCCUAACCCAGCAGCCCUAAACCGUCCCCUCCCCUUCAACCUUCUCUCCUCACCGAUUCCCCCGGCCUCUCCUCAGCUGUACCCCACCUCUGGACAUAUCAGCUGGCAUCUGGAGCACACAACACUCCAACAUCAGAGGAGGACACUGCCUCAAGCUCUACAACAGCCAACACCUGCAUUUUUUCCCCCCUUUUAUGCUCCGCUCUAUUACCUUUCACAGGAAUUUCUCAGGAUGUUGUUUCCCAUUUUCGAGGAUGAAAUCAACAACACCAGAAGCAGCACACAGCUGGAGACCAAGGCCGAGCCCGGGACAGCAACUACCCACAGGUGAGGCCUGCUUGCUGGGACAGCCUGGGUGCCAGGUGGCCUGACUGCCAGCAGGCUGAGCCACGUCUAAUCAAGGAUGUGGAGCCCAACUGGAGCUACCAACAUCUGCUCUCCUUGCACUUGGGUGGCUGAAGGCAAAGCCCUGCUCGGUGUGCACACAAGCCGAGUGACCUUGAGAUGAGGGAGAUCUUAGAAGACCAGAGGCUCCAAAUGAAAAAGGUUAAAGGAAUGAAUCAAAACUGAAAGAAAAAAAAAGUCCAAGUGACUCAAAAGACAUUACAAGAAUGUCAUGAGUGUCUGACAUCAAAUGGACCAUACACUCUCAGAGCAUAAAUAUGGCCGCUGUACCACUGUCAACCCCUCAUCACCGCUGCCAUUUGUUCAUAUCCUUUUGCCUCUGCCAGGACUUAACCAUUAGAUUGUUCAGCCCUCAGUACAGUGUGGCAGUCUACUGAGCAGCAAUCAACAGUGGUGCCGUUGUGUAAGUGAGAAAUGAUUGACAGCGUGCCAUGGUGCUCCCAUUUAUUUCUUCUCCGGAGCUGUUUUCUGUCAGAACGGCUAUUGAUUUUUCCAUAAAGUAAGAAAACAAGUACCGUUUAGGGGCUAGGGAGGUCAGCACAAAUUAAACCUGAAGAUGUAAAGCCUUCUCUCUGUCCCAUUAUGGGUUGCCUCAAAUGUCUUCUUCACACAUGUUUUAUGUGAUCAACAGAUAAUGAGAUCAGCAAAGGAAAUAUGUUAGGAAAGUCCACUGGAUGGCAUUAGAAAUGGUAAACAGGAUGCACGACGCUUCAAAAAACCCCGACUCUGUUCCUGUGUAUCUGACCAGCACUGAGAAGCAUUUGUGUAUUAUGUAUUAUAACUGUAACUGUAUUGCAGCAUUAUAUCCCUGACAACCCAACGAGUAUAACGUACAGAAACAGGAUAGGGUGUGUGUAUAUCAGCUACUGCCUCCUGAGUCGAGGUCCGUGUCUGAAACUGCUUCCUGAAUGCUAUGUACACUCUGCUAUUGUAUUCAAAUGUUAAAAUUCAGAAGUCCAAGCACGACAUGGUGUACUCAAAAAAUACUUCUAUUAUGACAAAUAAAUGCCACCGACAUGCACCACUGCCUAGAUACUGAAGAUGUCCUGCAUCUAUUAGAGUAAAAAUCAGUCAUUAAACAAACUAGGCUUUCAUAGCCUUGUACCAUUUGGUUUAGUGGUACUAAGAGACUGUCUCAUUUUAGCUAUAAUCACAAGCAGUUUUUCAGGUGUCAACUUGUUUUGUUUGUGCAACUAUGAUCUUCAAAAUAAAAAGAAAUAAGCAACCUUGGGGCCUGAAAAGUGAAGCCACUUUGUAAGGACCUAAAUCUGCAGUCCCUCUAGUGGCCACUAGAGGCUCACUCCAAAAGCAAAUCAAUCCUUGCAGACUUCCAUGUUAAAAUCCAGUAAAAACAAACAUGUUACACACUGGGCUUUUAUAGCAGGGCAGCUGUAUGGGGAUGCUUUCAAUUCUUAAUGACCUACUCAGUUACAUCUUAUAAAGGCUUAGAGUUUGCAUUAUAAGUGGCACGACCUCUCUGAAUACGUGGCUCUAGCCUCUAGCUUAGCGCUAGGCUUAACUUGAAGUAAUUUGAGUCACUGAACUGGACCAAGUCUCACCAUAUUUGUAGUGUUGUUACAUUUGGGAGCAGAUUGAAUGCAAUAUUUUAACAUAAUGGCACGUG